UACGUAGGGGGCAAGCGUUGUCCGGAUUUAUUGGGCGUAAAGAGCGUGUAGGCGGUCUGGUAGGUCCGUUGUGAAAACUCGAGGCUCAACCUCGAGACGCCGAUGGAAACUCUCAGACUAGAGUCCGGAAGAGGAGAGUGGAAUUCCUGGUGUAGCGGUGAAAUGCGCAGAUAUCAGGAAGAACACCCGUGGCUAAGGCGGCUCUCUAGUACGUGACUGACGCUGAGACGCGAAAGCGUGGGGAGCGAACAGG
rnacentral:rRNA from 1 species